rnacentral:lncRNA from 1 species
AUGAUCACCCAGCUACGCAUGCCUUUCCCAAACGUCACCAUGCCGUGUCGAUUGCUGUUCUGGUUUGUAACUAUUGUUUUAUUUCACUGUAGAGCCGAUAGCACUGCUCAACACGCCUCGGAUAACAAUUUAGCUCCACCCCCUACACACGCAGUGACGUCACCUGGUUUAAAUGCUAUUUCUAGAGACAAUAUCUCUUUCAUUAUCACUAUAUGCACAGGUUUACCCCCACUGUAUUCACAUCCUACUAUACCUUUGUCUGUACAUUAUUGCUUGAAUAUAUUCUACCUUGCCCAGAGACCGGCUCCUUUAACUCUCUGUUCUGAACGUACUAGGCGUCCAGUUCUGUUAUCCUUUAGCCGUACCCUUAUCCUACUCCUCCUCUGUUCCUCUGGUGAUGUAGAGGUUAAUCCAGGCCCUGCAGUGUCUACCUCCACUCCCAUCCCCCAGGCUCUCUCAUUUGUUGACUUCUGCAACUGUAAAAGCCUUGGUUUCAUGCAUGUUAACAUUAGAAGCCUCCUCCCCAAGUUGGUUUUAUUCACUGCCCUAGCACACUCCACCAAUCCGGAUGUCCUAGCCGUGUCUGAAUCCUGGCUUAGGAAGAACACCAAAAACCUUGAAAUUUCCAUUCCUUACUAUAACAUUUUCCGACAAGAUAGAACUCCCAAAGGUGGCGGUGUUGCAAUUUACUGCAAAGAUAACCUGCAGAGUUCUGUCUUACUAUCCAGGUCUAUACCCAAACAAUUUGAGCUUCUACUUCUAAAAAUUAUCCUUUCCAGAAACGAGUCUCUCACCGUUGCCGCUUGCUAUAGACCACCCUCUGCCCCCAGCUGUGCCCUCGACACCAUAUGUGAUUUGAUUGCCCCCCAUCUAUCUUCUGAGCUCGUGCUGCUAGGUGACCUAAACUGGGACAUGCUUAACACCCCGGCCAUCCUACAAUCUAAGCUCAAUCUCACACAAUUUAUCAAUGAACCUACCAGAUAUAACCCCAAAUCCGUAAACACGGGCACCCUCAUAGAUAUCAUCCUAACUAACUCACCCUCCAAAUACACUUCUGCUGUUUUCAACCAAGAUCUCAGCGAUCACUGCCUCAUUGCCUGCAUCCGUAAUGGGUCUGCGAGCAAACAACCACCCCUCAUCACUGUCAAACGCUCCCUAAAACACUUCUGCGAGCAGGCCUUUCUAAUCGACCUGGCCGGGGUAUCCUGGAACAACAUUGACCUCAUCCCGACAGUAGAGGAUGCCUGGUUAUUCUUUAAAAGUGCCUUCCUCACCAUCUUAAAUAUGCAUGCCCCAUUCAAAAAAUGUAGAACCAGGAAUAGAUAUAGCCCUUGGUUCACUCCAGACCUCUCUGCCCUUGACCAGCACAAAAACAUCCUGUGGCGUUCUGCAUUAGCAUCGAAUAGCCCCCGUGAUAUGCAACUUUUCAGGGAAAUUAGAGACCAAUAUACACAGGCUGUUAGGAAAGCUAAGGCUAGCUUUUUUAAACAGAAAUUUGCAUCCUGCAGUACAAACUCAAAAACGUUCUGGGACACUGUAAAGUCUAUUGAGAAUAAGAGCACCUCAUCCCAGCUACCCACUACUCUGAGGCUAGUAAACACUGUUAAAACCGAAAAAAUCCACUAUAAUUGA